AGGGUUUGGAUCCUGGGCUCAGAUUGAACGCUGGCGGCACGCUUAACACAUGCAAGUCGAACGGCAGCAUGAUCUAGCUUGCUAGAUUGAUGGCGAGUGGCGGACGGGUGAGUAAUGCGUAGGAAUCUACCUUAGUGAGGGGGACAACUCGGGGAAACCCGAGCUAAUACCGCAUAAUUUCUUAGGAAAAAAGGCGCCUUAGGGUGUCGCACUAAGAUGAGCCUACGUCGGAUUAGCUAGUUGGUGGGGUAAAAGCCUACCAAGGCGACGAUCCGUAGCUGGUCUGAGAGGAUGAUCAGCCACACUGGGACUGAGACACGGCCCAGACUCCUACGGGAGGCAGCAGUGGGAAUAUUGGACAAUGGGGGCAACCCUGAUCCAGCGAUGCCGCGUGUGUGAAGAAGGCCUGCGGGUUGUAAAGCACUUUAGGUGGUGAGGAAGAGCUUGUUGUGAAUAGCAAUGAGUGAUGACGUUAGCCACAGAAUAAGCACCGGCUAACUCUGUGCCAGCAGCCGCGGUAAUACAGAGGGUGCAAGCGUUAAUCGGAAUUACUGGGCGUAAAGGGUGCGUAGGCGGUAAAUCAAGUCAGUUGUGAAAGGCCAGGGCUUAACCUUGGAACUGCAAUUGAAACUGGUUGACUAGAGUCGAGUAGAGGGGAGUGGAAUUUCCGGUGUAGCGGUGAAAUGCGUAGAUAUCGGAAGGAACACCCGUGGCGAAGGCGGCUCCCUGGGACUCAGACUGACG
rnacentral:rRNA from 1 species